AGGAUAAUAGUUUAUCAAUAAAACAUUUAAAUUGCACUUAAAAAAAAUUAAAUAGAUUUAUCUUA
rnacentral:tRNA from 1 species